rnacentral:lncRNA from 1 species
UACAGGUUCGCACGUGAGCGGCACGGCGGCGCGAGGAAAGGGCGUAGCUCCGUAGAUAGCGCCCUACCCCAGAGACCAGAGCUAACAGUACCCCGUCGACAUAGCUUAGGGGUAUAGGCAAUGAAAGCAAGCAAAUGUAUCAAACUUGUAAUAAGUAAAUAUUGUAGUAACUUAGAUUGUAAUUGGAAGUCAAAUGUUAAAGAAUGGAAAUUGGGAUGUAAAAGCUAUGGAUGUGAAUGUAUGUAAUAACAUAGGAUGUGUUUAUGUUGUAUGAUACCUUCCUUUUGCAAUCUUGAUUGAUAUCUGUUCCUGGUUGGAACUCUGUACAUUGUAUUGAUUACGAUGCCUUGAAUGUACAGGGAAGACUCUGUCCGUAGUACAGGGGAAAU